rnacentral:snoRNA from 1 species
CUUCAGUGACGAUACGAUGACGAGUCAGAAACGGACACCCUCUUGCUCGGAGCCAACAGCCCCGGGGGGCCAUGUUCUGUGGCCCUUUGCUGGUUAACUCUGACAAGGGUGCCCUGAUCACUGGAUGAACUAGAGGCAUUUGUCUGAGAAGG